rnacentral:rRNA from 1 species
CCGGUAUUUUUGAUGUCUAGCCUGCUCACUGAUAUUUUAAAGAGCCGCGGUAUUUUGACCGUGCAAAGGUAGCAUAAUCAUUAGUCUUUUAAUUAGAGGCUGGAAUGAAUGGCUUGACGAGAAAUUAACUGUCUCUUAAUAAUUUUUAGAAUUUAACUUUUAAGUCAAAAGGCUUAAAUAUUUCUUUAGGACGAGAAGACCCUAUAGAGCUUAACAUUUAAUUUAUAUAUAUUUUUAGGUUAGUUUUUUUAUAUUUAAUGAUAAUGUUUUGUUGGGGUGACAUGAAGAAUUAAUAAACUCUUCAUUAUUAAAUCAUUAAUUUAUGUUAUUUUUGAUCCAUAAUUUAUGAUCAUAAGAUUAAGUUACCUUAGGGAUAACAGCGUAAUUGUUUUUGAGAGCUCAUAUCGACAAAGCAGAUUGCGACCUCGAUGUUGGAUUAAGAAAAAUUCUUGGUGCAGUAACUAAGUAAUUAGGUCUGUUCGACCUUUAAAUUCUUACGUGAUCUGGU